rnacentral:lncRNA from 1 species
UCCGAACCACAUUAGACAUGAUACGCCUUUUAAAUUUGGCUGGAUCAAAAUCUAUGUUAAAUUAACAUUAUCCCAUGCGUGCUUAAAUGCCCUCAUUGCUUCAAGAUAAGUUUCUUUUAAAUAAGGGGACCUCAAUUUCAUAUUAUCUUUUUUUUAAAAAUUUAUUUUAUUACUAUUUAAGUCUAAGAAUACAUUUACG